rnacentral:rRNA from 1 species
CCCCUAGAUGUUCUGGGCCGCACGCGCGCUACACUGAACAGUUCAACAAGUCUUAACCUUGGCCGAUGGGUCUGGGUAAUCUUUGAACGCUGUUCGUGAUUGGGAUAGACCUUUGCAAUUAUGGGUCUUCAACGAGGAAUUCCUAGUAAACGCAAGUCAUCAGCUUGCAUUGAUUACGUCCCUGCCCUUUGUACACACCGCCCGUCGCACCUACCGAUUGAAUGGUCCGGUGAAAUCUCGGGACGGCGGCUUGGUCGCUUGCGUCCGACUGCUGAAACUUGAUUAAACCAUAUCAUUUAGAGGAAGGUGAAGUCGUANCA